AAACCAACAGGGAUUGCCUCAGUAACGGCGAGUGAAGCGGCAAAAGCUCAAAUUUGAAAUCCUGGCUCCUAUGGGGUCAUGAGUUGUAAUUUGAAGGUUGGGCGGUUGUGGCGUUGCGCAUCUCUAAGUCCAUUGGAACAUGGCGCCUGGGAGGGUGAGAGCCCCGUGAGAGAUGUGUCGGCGUUGCUUUUACUGCUCUUCCGAAGAGUCGAGUUGUUUGGGAAUGCAGCUCUAAGUGGGUGGUAAAUUCCAUCUAAAGCUAAAUAUUGGCGAGAGACCGAUAGCGAACAAGUACAGUGAUGGAAAGAUGAAAAGCACUUUGAAAAGAGAGUGAAAAAGUACGUGAAAUUGUUGGAAGGGAAGGGCUUGCAAGCAGACACGAUCCUCUCGGGGAUUGGGCCAGCAUCGGUUGGCAAGGGGUGGAAAAGGCAGCAGGGAAUGUGGCUCGGUGCUUUUAGUGCCGAGUGUUAUAGACCUGUUGAGAUACACCCACUUCCGACCGAGGCCUGCGAUCUAUUCUAGGAUGCUGGCGUAAUGGUUGCAAGUCGC
rnacentral:rRNA from 1 species